rnacentral:misc_RNA from 1 species
CGCAUCCCUGCUAUCGAGGUCUCGCACCAGCGUUCUCUCUCUCGCCGUUCGCAUUCUUUCUGUGCGCCUGCCCCAACACUCGAAUCUUUUCACGCCGCCAUCGCGUUUGGACCCCCCCCUUCCCUCCCCUUCCAUCUGCCUAGAAACGAACGACUCACGCAUACACGCGCACACGCACGCGUACGCCAACGCUCAGGCUUUGGCUACCGUGAUUUUCAUACACUGGGCUUGCCCGCACGCCCACUCGCAUUCGUAUCCUCUGCUCUUUACCGCGAAGAUCGGCGUAUAUCUUUCCGUUGCUCUGUCUCCCUCCCGUUUUCUCGCAUCAUCUUUCCGUUGUGGUUUCGUCUGUUCCGUCGGUGCCGUUCACGCUGCUACCUCUUGCGGUUCAUCAGUGUAAGCGAGGACGCUCACACGAAUACAACAAACAAGAGCCGCCCUCGGGCCUGCGCCCUCUCCCCUCUCCAUUUCUUUCCCUCUGCGGUUCAGGCCCGCGUUUUGCUCGACUUUGUCUCAUCGGCCUCUCCCCACGUGUUUUCUUUUACGUUACGUUUCGCUAUCGUUUAUCGCUUUUCUUUCCCUUUUUCUUUUCCUGCUGCUGCUCAUCUACGCAGCCACCCACCUCCUCACUCGCCAUCUCUCCCACUUGUACUUUUCUUCGACUCGCUCUCUCUCUAACUCUGUCAGAGCACAUUAGCAGGCAAACGCAUGCGCCACAAUGAAGAUCCCUCUUCAGUCUACGCUUUUUGUUUGCCUGUUUGGCACGUUGUCCGCACUCGUCGCAUCGGUGCUCAUCUUGGGAUCUGCUGACAUGUCGAGUGUGCGGGCAAGCCAGCGAAUGGCACGCAUGUGCGGUAAUCUUGGAUCCUGCAUCCGUAUCCACUCUGGUCCGAUCGAUUCUAUUCUCAUCGGCGACAUUGACUUUGACCGCGACACCGUGGGUGACGUUAUCAAGCGCAUCCCGCCCUGGUUCGGCAGUCAGACCCGCCCGCUUGCCCUCACUGUGCACAAUGUGCCGUUAAAGGAGGAGUCGACACUGCGCGCGCAAGGGCUGAUGGCCGCCUCUUACAUUUGCCUUGCCUCGAUGAAGGAGUUGCGCGUCGAUACGGAGACGUGAAUGCUGCGCUCUGCAGUGGCCGGGACGAUAAGCACCGCAAGACGCUUGGUUGUGUGUCUGUCAAGUGACACAAAAGGCGGUUGCAUCCUAUUUCUUUUUUUUUCCGUGUGUGUGCGUGCGUGGUGGCGCUCUUCUCUCUGCGUUUUCUUUCGGCUUCAUGGUGGAGCUUUUUUUUUCUUGGUCUACUGACGCUUUCAUCGUUCUCUGCCCCCUGACGACGGGAGAGGGAGGAGGCGGGGCCGUGGGGGGGGGUGAGAGCGAUGUAUCGCUACGGAUGCUGGCGUUCAGGCUCCGGAUAGCGUUGCGUCGGAGAGCGCUGCGAGCGUGCACACGCUUGUACCAUCCAUGUGAUGGGCAGAGCGUCAGCGUGACUGGAACGUAUCCCACCGCCGACCCUCACUGCGUAGUGGUGUGGGGAACCUGAGCGCCACCGCGAAGGACGCGCUACGUGGCGACCGGCACUGUGGGAGCGGCUGUGAUGCGAUGACCGAGUCCGCGCAUUAGCAGCAGCGCAUGUGCCGACGGCCGCUUCUCACCAUGUGGAGGGGCCCCGUGCCAAGGCCGCCGAUUGGGUGAGUGGCGUUGUGCUUCGCGUUGUACGGCAGAGUGAAAACGCGAAAGCACAGCUGGUGCUCCGUGUGUGCCAGGGUGUGUGCGCUGUCUCUCUGUGCUCGACGGCCGUAACGGCCAUGUCUCACGAGGACAACGCCGACUCACCUUGUCUCCUGCCCCUUCCCCCGCUUAUAUGGCGUCGGCCUUUCGAGUAAGAACCCGCUUUUGUAGUUUUGUUUAUUUCUGUGUCAUCGGUCGAGUAUGAGAGGCGGGUGCAGCUGCCUCCCUCCCUCCCUUCCCUACCGCGCCUCCCCGGGCAGCCCGACGACUGCUGACUUUGCUUAUAAUGUGUUCAUGCGUGCGUGCUUGUCGCGUGUCCGUGUUUCCUCCGCUUGCGGUAGUUUUAUCGGUGUUGCCGUUGUGCCUUUCCUUGUUGAACCCACCCCACCGCCCGCGCAGUCUGUAUCCAUGUAUCGGAUAUGUCCCGAAUGUGCACUGGGAGCUGCGUGUCAUGCCUCUUCCUCACCCUCACUCCUACGCAGAGCCAUCCGCCAUUUGUCGUCAGCACUUCUCGGCAACGAGAAGCCUCGGUAGGCCAAGCGCACAAAAAAGGGCGUUGAGCGGCGCCGCAUGGGAAGACGUUAGCUGCUUUGAGCAGCUGUGACCACUCACAUAGUGGCAAGCGCUCAAAGGACUGCAGGAAGGGACGCUUGCUGAGUCCACGUCUUACGCCAUGAUGAGCUUCCCUACUCUUUUUUUUGGCGAGGAGGAGUGGAGGUGUGUGUGGUGCGGCACGUCGGCGACACUCCGCAACAAGAGCAUGAACAACGACAAAGAUAAUAGUGGACCCGCUUCACACUUCAUCUCUAUACAGUUAUAUGCGCUGUCGACUUGUUUUUACCUAUGAUUUUCUAAUUGUCAAGUUCCCGAAGGAAUGCAUGUCAUCCUCCCCUUCCUUCUCCCCCCCCCCAUGUCUCUAUGGGGCACCAAAGCUUUCGCUUUUACGAGUGCUUGACUUCUUUUGUUACACCGCUUUUUUUUUCGACCAUUUCGCCUCUAUCCUCCUCUCCCUCUCCCUGUGCAAGUGCCGGUGUGUGCUCGUUGCGUGGCUUAAUCCGCAAAAAUCGCAUCAACAGUGGAGCGAAGGAACGAAAAUCACAGUGCUGUGGUUGGUGUGGACGGGCUGAUGACGUUGCCGUUACCCUUGCUUCUGCCGCGCUCUCGUGGUCUACUCCACUGCUUGUGUUAUCCGACCUGUCACUGAUCUCGAUCUAGCAGGGAUCUGUGUCCUCCAGAGCUAUGCACACCCGCAAGCACCGUCUUUUUUUGUUUGCGCCGUACCCGAAGGCUUACUAUCGUCUUGCUCCCUGCCUUUUGAACGGUGAAGGAGAACCCGUCUCGGUUCAUGGUGAGGCGCGAGCGAAAGAGGAGUUGGGAGAGAGGGUGAGGGUGCGAGACUCAGACGAGGGGUACAGAUGGGAAAAAAAAGUUCCUUGUCGGACCGCCCCUCUCACGCCUUAUCCCUUUUAAAAGGGAAAGUUUGCGUUUCCUGCUUUGUUUUUCGUUUUUUUUUAAGUUCUUCAAAACAGUUUUUGUGUGUGUUUGUACGUGCGUGAGGAACUGCCAUUCUCUCUAUCGUCACCACGCUCCCGUUCCGGUAAGCGAGUGUGGAGGUGUUGUGAGCCCACUCGCCCUAGCCAGCGCCAUCUUGGUUACAACUCGCUUGUCGUUACGCUCUCGCCUUUUCUUUUUUACUUCACGGCCGUCAAAGAUGCUCAGUCCUUCGAUGUCGGGGUGUAACGGUCUGUAUAGGUCCAUGGACACCUAUGUGUGCGUGCAUGUUAUUCAUUCUCGGACCUCCUUCCGUUCCACCGUUGUGUCCUUCGUAGCUUUCUUUUUUGGAAAGUCUCUUCCUCGCGGUACGGUGGGGGGGGGUGUCUGUAGAGGAACAUGUGGAGGAAGGCAUCUUUAGAUUCAGCAAAGAGAGGGGGACGGCCGAAGAGUCACAUUUGCCUUGUGCAGUAUCUUUUUGUGGGCCUUGCGUGGGCGCCUUCUGCUUUGACCGCAUUGGUGAGGGACAUGUCGCUAGGAAUAAAAAAAAAGAAAACGAACCUCGUUACCCAAUGGCCUGGUGCGCGGAAGCCGAGCGUCACGAAGGCAAAAAGGUGUUCACGGUGCACGACAGCGCGUACAGCUGAACAGGCGAUAAGGGCUUGAACGAAAGUCAAAAGAAAAAGAAUAGAUGGCACUGAAAGCGGAACGAAAAGAAAGAGCGGUGAGGUAGUUUGGUAUGGCCAACACAAACUCAAAGACAGCAAACUUCUCAUGCAGGCGCCGUGUAGCGUCGCCUUCGGUUUGCUGUCGCACAGGAAAACAAGAGGUCACGCUAUCACCUCUCCAGCACUGCUGCAGCAUCUGUUUCGGGAUCAGUAUCGGUUGCAACACGCACGC